rnacentral:lncRNA from 1 species
CGCCCCUCCGGUCCCACCCCCUCCUCCGCCGUCGCCCGCGGGGAUGCUCGCGUGCAGCCCUCCUCGCGUUUAAAGCCACGGCUCCGAGGGGGGUGCGGCGAGCAGGAGCGACGGGGAGGGGGCCGCUGGCGUUCUGCAGAGGGCUGGCCCGGGUUCGUCGGCUGCCGUCACCUGACUCGUCGCAGGCGCUCCAGCUGAGAAGAGGAGGCGGUAGACGCGACCGGUGAAGAUGUCGGGCCAAACGCUCACGGAUCGGAUCGCUGCCGCUCAGUACAGCGUGACUGGCUCUGCUGUAGCAAGAGCCGUCUGCAAAGCCACCACUCAUGAGGUGAUGGGCCCCAAGAAGAAGCACCUGGACUAUUUGAUCCAGGCUACCAACGAGACCAAUGUCAAUAUUCCUCAGAUGGCGGAUACCCUCUUUGAGCGGGCGACAAACAGCAGCUGGGUGGU